rnacentral:sRNA from 1 species
GAACACUAGCUGUCCUCUUUAUGUUCUGUUAAUUGCCAGCAUUUACUUUUUUCUCUAAUGAUAAUAGCUGUUAACAGGACUAUGUGUUUUUCAGCUUGGAACUGCAGUUGGCUUUUUGCUACCACCAGUUUUAGUACCCAACACACAGAAUGACACAAAUCUCCUGGCUUGUAAUAUCAGCACCAUGUUUUAUGGAACAUCAGCUGUUGCCACACUUUUAUUUAUUUUAACAGCAAUUGGCCACUCCAGCAAAGCACGGCUGCCACCACUCGUCACUGAGUCGUCUCGGCUGAGCCUGUCUCUUGAAGCAGUCAGUCAAAAUCAGCUGCAAGCAGCCAUCAUCAGUUUGGAAGAAGCUUUGGGAAGGAUACAAAGAGAUUCAGGAAAAGACAACAGACAUCCUAACAGUACAAGAUCAGAUAGAAUGAAAGGAAGAGGAGGAUUUGCAACUUAAACCUUUUAUGUGUACCAGCCUUCCA